rnacentral:rRNA from 1 species
UGGGGAAUAUUGGACAAUGGGCGGAAGCCUGAUCCAGCAACGCCGCGUGAGGGAUGACGGCCUUCGGGUUGUAAACCUCUUUCAGCACAGACGAAGCGCAAGUGACGGUAUGUGCAGAAGAAGGACCGGCCAACUACGUGCCAGCAGCCGCGGUAAUACGUAGGGUCCGAGCGUUGUCCGGAAUUAUUGGGCGUAAAGGGCUCGUAGGCGGUUUGUCGCGUCGGGAGUGAAAAACACCGGGCUUAACUCGGUGCUUGCUUUCGAUACGGGCAGACUAGAGGCAUUCAGGGGAGAACGGAAUUCCUGGUGUAGCGGUGAAAUGCGCAGAUAUCAGGAGGAACACCGGUGGCGAAGGCGGUUCUCUGGGAAUGUCCUGACGCUGAGGAGCGAAAGUGUGGGGAGCGAACAGGAUUAGAUACCCUGGUAGUCCACACCGUAAACGUUGGGCGCUAGGUGUGGGAUCCAUUCCACGGGUUCCGUGCCGCAGCUAGCGCAUUAAGCGCCCCGCCUGGGGAGUACGGCCGCAAGGCUAAAACUUAAAUGAAUUGACGGGGUCAUAGCUGUUUCCU